rnacentral:rRNA from 1 species
CCAUUUUGGAGAGUUUGAUCCUGGCUCAGGACGAACGCUGGCGGCGUGCCUAAUACAUGCAAGUCGAGCGAGGAGCUUCGGCUCCUAGCGGCGAACGGGUGAGUAACACGUGGGCAACCUGCCCGCAAGAUCGGGAUAACUUCGGGAAACCGGAGCUAAUACCGGA